GCCUGCAGCGGAGCACACGAGACAAGCGGUCACGUCACGAGCAGGAGGAGCCGCGCGGACGUUUGAAACAAACGCAAAAAAAGUUUGAAACAAACCCGUCAAACAUAAAGAAAUGAUCAACCUGUUAGCUUCACUUUAAGGUGAAGCGAAGAGCUUGAGCUGACUGCUGGAAAAUAUUUACCUCAUUAAGUCACAGAAGCACAGCGAAAAGUGAUGAUGAUGUUCGUGUCCUGCCAUUUUGACAACACAGCGCCACUUCCGGUCAGCUGACCCAGAAGACGCUCUUGAUUGGGUAAGCGUUUGUUUACUAACACGUCAUCUGCAUGUGAGAUUUUUUUUUUUUUACAAUUCUUUAUUAACAAUUUCAAGGACAAUACAAGAACAGACAGGUCCAAACAACAGACACAAGAGGAAUGCGAGCAGAGAAAGAAAAUAAUAAUAAAAAAACACAGUACAAAAUAAGAACAGCGAUAAAAUAAAGAAAAAAAA